rnacentral:rRNA from 1 species
UGGGGAAUAUUGCACAAUGGGCGAAAGCCUGAUGCAGCGACGCCGCGUGAGGGACGACGGCCUUCGGGUUGUAAACCUCUUUCAGUAGGGACGAAGCGCAAGUGACGGUACCUGCAGAAGAAGCACCGGCUAACUACGUGCCAGCAGCCGCGGUAAUACGUAGGGUGCGAGCGUUGUCCGGAAUUACUGGGCGUAAAGAGCUCGUAGGCGGUUUGUCACGUCGUCUGUGAAAUCCUAGGGCUUAACCCUGGACGUGCAGGCGAUACGGGCUGACUUGAGUACUACAGGGGAGACUGGAAUUUCUGGUGUAGCGGUGGAAUGCACAGAUAUCAGGAAGAACACCGAUGGCGAAGGCAGGUCUCUGGGUAGUAACUGACGCUGAGGAGCGAAAGCAUGGGUAGCGAACAGG